UCAGCCAAUUUCUCAACCGCCCUUUCAUACACAUUCCUAGCCCUCGCAACUUCACCAUUCUUCAUCUCAAACUUAGCAUACCGAAUCCAUGCACUGACCUUGGGAUGAAACUGAACAAAACGUUCAAAAAUCACUCUUGCACGUUCAAUUUCAUUAUACCUCAGCUCAAAUUUGAUAUAAGAAAGCCAUCCUUGCUGGUCAGGCAUCCAACUCAUCCAUCUCUCAAAAAUCUGCCUAGCACCAGCCACAUUCCCAAGCAUCUCCUCCAUGUGAAUGUACUUGUACCAUAGCUGAUCCACACGAGGUAAGAGCGUGACGGCACGGUCCCAAACAUUCCUGGCAUGAUUGAUGAACUUAUUCUUCAUCUCCACCUCCGCGUAUUUGAGCCAUAGCGUGUGGUUCCGGUAAUCAACCUCAAGUGCCCGUUCCCAAACUGAACGUGCUCGAUUGAAAUCCUUUUGUGACUCCUCCCACUGCGCGCACUUAAUCCAUACACUAAUAUUCCAUCGACCUCGUCUGAUUAGGUCUUCAAACUCUUUUCUUUUGCGAAGCCGAUAAUCAGCGAGCUCGGUUGAGUCUGUGAUCUUCUGCUUGGGAGGACGGAUUUCAGCUUCCUGACGUUCUCGUGCCUCGCGC
rnacentral:misc_RNA from 1 species